GCGGGAGGGAUACCUCCUGGGUAUUCUCGAGAUCCAGCUCUCGGUUCCUGAGAUCUUGGAAUCUGCUCACACGUGGCUUGUACGGCGGAGGUUGUCCGGUCAGCGGGUUGCGGAGGAUCCCGCAGGUAGCAAAGGGAGGGCGAGGGCCCCUGCGACCCCAGACUGCGACUAGGUCACCCACUCCAUGACAUUCAUCCUUUAGUAUCUGCUCUUCGCUAAGGAGAAAACAACACCACCUGUCAUCUGUUAACCCGAGGACAGAAUGCCCAGGUGAGCCUGACUCACAGUACCUGUACUUAGCUAACCUUGACCACGUGCUGCCAAAGCUCCUGCAAGCCCUCCCUCCAAGCACAGCAGCAGCCCAGCUCCGGAGCGGACAGGCAUUCCACCCCACAGAAGUGAUCUGCUGUCACCUACUCUUGGGGGGCAAAGGGGAUUAUGGGGAGAUUAGAAGAAGAUAGAUGGGCCCACUCCGUCAACCCAUAUUGUUAUCAGACAAUUCAUUCUGGUCCACACAACAACCCCACCGGUGCACUGACUGAGGGGAGCCACGUGUUUAGUUCCCUGGACUC